GAAAAGGGGAAUGCAGGAUAGAGGCAAAGGGAGAGAAGCAGGAGGGUACGUUCACGUGUGCACAGGUCAAUGCAAAGGCCAUAGGAGAGUUCCAGAUCCCCUGGAGACGCCUGGUGUGGAUGCUGGAAACCCACCUUGGGUCCCUCUGGACAGCAGCAAGUACUAUUAACCACUGAACCUUCUCUCCAGCUUUGAAAAAAAUUUUAAACAAGGUUUCAGUUUAUAGAAUGGGCUAUCAUCACUGGCAAUUCUUCUACCUCAACCUGAGUGACUCCAAACAAUUUUUGUGGAAUUGUAUAU
rnacentral:lncRNA from 1 species